rnacentral:rRNA from 1 species
GACGAACGCUGGCGGCGUGCGUAAUACAUGCAAGUCGAAGGAAGUGGUGCACGGGUUAGUAAUUUAUAGCUAAUCUGCCCCUUCCUGGAGGACAACAGCUAGUAAUGACUGCUAAUACUCCAUAGCAAGGGAUGAGACUAUAUCGUAUCAGCUAGUCGGUGGGGUAACGGCCUACCGCGGCUAUGACGCGUAACUGGUCUGUGAGGAUGAUCAGUCACAUUGGAACUGAGACACGGUCCAAACUCCUACGGGAGGCGGCAGUAGGGAAUAUUGCGCAAUGGGGGAUACCCUGACGCAGCAACGCCGCGUGGAGGAUGACACUUUUCGGAGCGUUAACUCCUUUUGUUAGGGAAGCGGUACCUAACGAAUAAGCACCGGCUAACUCCGUGCCAGCAGCCGCGGUAAUAC